rnacentral:tRNA from 1 species
GCCUGGCUGGCUCAGUAGGUAGAGCAUGCGACUCUGGAUCUCAGGAUUGUGAGUUUGAGCCCCAUGUUGGGUA